rnacentral:rRNA from 1 species
UAUUGGGCAAUGGACGCAAGUCUGACCCAGCCACGCCGCGUGCAGGAAGACGGCCCCCUGGGUUGUAAACUGCUUUUAACUGGGAAGAAAGCAGCUCAUGCGUGAGAAUUUGACGGUACCAGUUGAAUAAGCCACGGCUAACUACGUGCCAGCAGCCGCGGUAAUACGUAGGUGGCGAGCGUUAUCCGGAUUUAUUGGGUUUAAAGGGAGCGUAGGCGGCUAAUUAAGUCAGUGGUUAAAGGUAGCAGCUUAACUGUUUUACAUGCCAUUGAUACUGGUUAGCUUGAGUUGACGGAAGGCAGAUAGAAUUUCUGGUGUAGCGGUGAAAUGCUUAGAUACCAGAAGGAAUACCGAUUGCGAAGGCAGUCUGCUGCAGUCACACUGACGCUGAGG